rnacentral:rRNA from 1 species
GGGCAUCCGUAUGGUGUGGAAAGUUUUUCGGUCUGGGAUGGACUCGCGGCCUAUCAUCUGUUGGGGAGGUAGUGGGUCUCCACGGGGACGACGGGUAGCCGGCCUGAGAGGGCGACCGGCCACACUGGGACUGAGACACGGCCCAGACUCCUACGGGAGGCAGCAGUGGGGAAUAUUGCACAAUGGGCGGAAGCCUGAUGCAGCGACGCCGCGUGAGGGAUGACGGCCUUCGGGUUGUAAACCUCUUUCAGCAGGGAAGAAGCGCAAGUGACGGUACCUGCAGAAGAAGCACCGGCUAACUACGUGCCAGCAGCCGCGGUAAUACGUAGGGUGCGAGCGUUGUCCGGAAUUAUUGGGCGUAAAGAGCUUGUAGGUGGUUUGUCGCGUCUGCUGUGAAAAUCCGAGGCUCAACCUCGGACUUGCAGUGGGUACGGGCAGACUAGAGUGUGGUAGGGGAGACUGGAAUUCCUGGUGUAGCGGUGGAAUGCGCAGAUAUCAGGAGGAACACCGAUGGCGAAGGCAGGUCUCUGGGCCAUUACUGA